UACGAAGGGGGCGAGCGUUAAUCGGAAUUACUGGGCGUAAAGGGCGCGUAGGUGGCUUGGUUAGUUGGAUGUGAAAGCCCUGGGCUUAACCCAGGAAUUGCAUUCAAUACUGCCAGGCUAGAGUGCAGUAGAGGGAAGCGGAAUUCCGGGUGUAGCGGUGAAAUGCGUAGAUAUCUGGAGGAACACCAAUGGCGAAGGCAGCUAUCUGGGAUACAACUGACGCUGAGGUACGAAAGCGUGGGGAGCAAACAGG
rnacentral:rRNA from 1 species